AGAGUUUGAUCCUGGCUCAGGACGAACGCUGGCGGCGUGCUUAACACAUGCAAGUCGAACGGAAAGGCCCUUCGGGGUACUCGAGUGGCGAACGGGUGAGUAACACGUGGGUGAUCUGCCCUGCACUUUGGGAUAAGCCUGGGAAACUGGGUCUAAUACCGAAUAUGACCAUGCACUUCCUGGUGUGUGGUGGAAAGCUUUUGCGGUGUGGGAUGGGCCCGCGGCCUAUCAGCUCGUUGGUGGGGUAAUGGCCUACCAAGGCGACGACGGGUAGCCGGCCUGAGAGGGUGACCGGCCACACUGGGACUGAGAUACGGCCCAGACUCCUACGGGAGGCAGCAGUGGGGAAUAUUGCACAAUGGGCGCAAGCCUGAUGCAGCGACGCCGCGUGAGGGAUGACGGCCUUCGGGUUGUAAACCUCUUUCAGCACAGACGAAGCGCAAGUGACGGUAUGUGCAGAAGAAGGACCGGCCAACUACGUGCCAGCAGCCGCGGUAAUACGUAGGGUCCGAGCGUUGUCCGGAAUUACUGGGCGUAAAGAGCUCGUAGGUGGUUUGUCGCGUUGUUCGUGAAAACUCACAGCUUAACUGUGGGCGUGCGGGCGAUACGGGCAGACUUGAGUAUUGCAGGGGAGACUGGAAUUCCUGGUGUAGCGGUGGAAUGCGCAGAUAUCAGGAGGAACACCGGUGGCGAAGACGGGUCUCUGGGCAGUAACUGACGCUGAGGAGCGAAAGCGUGGGGAGCGAACAGGAUUAGAUACCCCGGUAGUCC
rnacentral:rRNA from 1 species